rnacentral:rRNA from 1 species
UACAGAGGUCCCAAGCGUUGUUCGGAUUUACUGGGCGUAAAGGGUGCGUAGGCGGUCGGGUAAGUCUGAUGUGAAAUCCCGCAGCUUAACUGCGGAAUGGCAUUGGAUACUAUCCGGCUUGAGGAUGCGAGGGGGGACUGGAAUUCUCGGUGUAGCAGUGAAAUGCGUAGAUAUCGAGAGGAACACCAGUGGCGAAGGCGAGUCCCUGGAGCAUUCCUGACGCUGAGGCACGAAAGCUAGGGGAGCAAACAGG